rnacentral:tRNA from 2 species
GGCGAUUGUAGCUUAAGCGGCAGAGCGUUCGGUUGUGGCCCGAAUGGAGAGGGUUCGAGUCCCUUCUUUCGCCU